AGACACCAAGGAAGACACUGCAACUAGCGGUGGCUAGCAAGCGGAGGAAGCUGGCGGAGGUUAACGGGAAAGACAGACGAAGUGAAACACUUUCUCAGCAGGGAAGAUUUGCCUCUUUACACUGGAAGACCCCUGUGGUGUGUGCGUUUUAGAACAUUCCCACCUGCUUUUGACAAGAUGGGUGAAAUAUAUCAGCAAAGAAAAGACGAGUCCAAAGCAUUAACAACUUGGAAGCUAUUUUUCAUGCUGCUAUCAUUACCUCCAGUUUGACGCUACAGUGGAAGGCAAAUUUGGUUCUGACUCAGUCUGGAUGGAUGCCAAACCACAUUUUGGAGGGGUGAGAAAGGCCCAACAUCUGCUUUGGGUG